UGCCAGCAGCCGCGGUAAUACGAAGGGUGCAAGCGUUGUUCGGAUUUAUUGGGCGUAAAGCGCGUGUAGGCGGUUCGUUAAGUCUGAUGUGAAAGCCCGGGGCUCAACCCCGGAAGUGCAUUGGAAACUGGCGAACUUGAGUACGGGAGAGGAAAGUGGAAUUCCGAGUGUAGGGGUGAAAUCCGUAGAUAUUCGGAGGAACACCAGUGGCGAAGGCGGCGGACUGGCUGAAUACUGACGCUCAGACCCGAAAGCGUGGGGAUCAAACAGGAUUAGAUA
rnacentral:rRNA from 1 species